GGCCGGGUCUGCCGCCGGGCCGCGCCCCUGUGUCCUCCGGGAUGAGCUCGUCCUUCCGAAGCUCGUAGGCCCCUCCCUGAUACGCUCCCAUCCCGUUUCCCCCUCCUUGCCCGGGUGGGCUGCCCUCCCGCGGGCGGAGGGCCCCUCCUCCCUUUCAUCCCUACCUUCUCCCAUCCCCCGACCCACGACCACCCCGGAGGAAUCCCUAGCACCGCCUGCCCAGCCCUUACCCAUUCUCUAGCCCGUUUGGGAAAGAAGAGAUGCUGGGGAAGCCGCAGUUCUGGGUCCGAGGCGCAGCCCCGCGCCUGGCCGACUCGUGACCUUGAGCCAGGCGCUACCGGCCAGGCCUCAGUUUACCCUUUUGGACAGUUGGGCCCCGGUCCUCGUUGUUGGGAGCCGGGUGGGCAGAGCAGAGGUGCGCCUGCAUGGAACCUUUGGCUGUGUACUGGGGCCCCCAACCCCUCUCUCUGCACCAAACCUAGUGCCUGCCAGUCUUGGCUGGGAGGAUGACUCAUAAUAGCGUCCUCUAGCGUCCCUUGCCCCUACUGGGCCCCAAGCCUUGGCCUUGCAGGACAGUUAGGGUAUGAAGCCCCCCCACCCCAGAUUCCCUCCAUGGGGUCUUCUUUCCCAGCUUUCUGUUGCUGAGCCACCUCAUAGGCCUUCCUGUUCCAACAAAGAUCCUACUGUGCUGGCCCCUCCAGCCCUGCCCUCUCCUAGGACUCCUGCCAGCCUUCCCCCAGGUCUGUGAAGGCCCACUUGGAGCAGGGGCCCACCUUAUGGUAGCCCCUGGGUCUCUAGGUCCUCUUGGAGGGUCUUGGAGCCUGGCUAGUGACCCAGCCAGCCUUACCCUUUCCAGGGUUCAGUCUCCCCAUCUGUAUAACGGGAAGGGGCAAGCUGGGGGAUCUCUAGGGCCCACCCAGCCCCAAGGGUGCCAGGCCCUAAGGAUGACUAAGCAUGCCUAGAGGCCAGCUUGACCAGGUGCCAGGCCUCCCCGGAGCAGGUGUCUGGGAUUGCUCAGCCCUGUGGCCCUGGCCCCUUGUUAGGCCAGGGCAUAGCCAGGCCUUCCAUAGCUCUGUCCGGUCCCUGCCCUUUGAAGGGUCCACUUCCUGGGCAGGCAGGGGAGGAAAGGGAGCUGUGACAGGAGUGCCACUGCCUUAUUUCUAAAUCAUGCUGCUUUCUCUCUCCCCAUUUUCUCUUGCCGGACCCUGCGUUGAAGAAUGCCAUUGCUGGAGGGCAGACAUCUGCUCCUCCUCCUCGGUUUACAGAUAGAGAAACUGAGGCGCAGAGGGGCUUGGUGACGUAGCCGUGGUCUCAGCAAGACUCUCAGACCUACGUGCUCAGUCCUGCACAGCUCAGCCUGGCGCUGCGUGUGUGCACCAGGAUCUGUGGAUGUGCAUGUGGGGUCAGGCAGGCUUGCA
rnacentral:lncRNA from 1 species